CCUUCGGGGAGCAGCAGUGGGGGAUAUUGCACAAUGGGGGGAACCCUGAUGCAGCGCCGCCGCGUUGGCGAUGGAGUGCUUCGGCAUGUAAAGCCCUAUCAGCAGGGAAGAAAAUGACUGUACCUGACUAAGAAGCCCCGGCUAAAUACGUGCCAGCAGCCGCGGUAAUACGUAUGGGUCAAGAGUUCUGCGGAUUUACUGGGUGGAAAGGGAGCGUAGGCGGCCUGGCAAGCCUGAUGUGAAAUACCGGGGCCCAACCCCGGGGCUGCAUUUGGAACUGCCAGGCUGGAGUGCCGGAGAGGCAGGCGGAAUUCCUAGUGUAGCGGUGAAAUGAGUAGAUAGUAGGAGGAACACCAGUGGCGAAGGCGGCCUGCUGGACGGUGACUGACGCUGAGGCUCGAAAGCGUGGGGAGCAAACAGGAUUAGAUACCCCUGUAGUC
rnacentral:rRNA from 1 species